GCAACUCGCCUGCAUGAAGUCGGAAUUGCUAGUAAUCGCGGAUCAGCAUGCCGCGGUGAAUACGUUCUCGGGCCUUGUACACACCGCCCGUCACACCAUGGGAGUCGGUAACACCCGAAGUCUGUAGCCUGACGCAAGAGGGCGCAGCCGAAGGUGGGAUUGAUGACUGGGGUGAAGUCGUAACAAGGUAGC
rnacentral:rRNA from 1 species